AUUGAACGCUGGCGGCAUGCCUUACACAUGCAAGUCGAACGGCAGCACGGGGCAACCUGGUGGCGAGUGGCGAACGGGUGAGUAAUGCAUCGGAACGUACCUUUCAGUGGGGGAUAACGUAGCGAAAGUUACGCUAAUACCGCAUAUUCUGUGAGCAGGAAAGCAGGGGAUCGCAAGACCUUGCGCUGAUUGAGCGGCCGAUGUCAGAUUAGCUAGUUGGUGAGGUAAAGGCUCACCAAGGCGACGAUCUGUAGCGGGUCUGAGAGGAUGAUCCGCCACACUGGAGCUGAGACACGGUCCAGACUCCUACGGGAGGCAGCAGUGGGGAAUUUUGGACAAUGGGGGCAACCCUGAUCCAGCCAUGCCGCGUGAGUGAAGAAGGCCUUCGGGUUGUAAAGCUCUUUCGGCCGGGAAGAAAUCGCACGGGCUAAUACCCUGUGUGGAUGACGGUACCGGAAUAAGAAGCACCGGCUAACUACGUGCCAGCAGCCGCAGUAA
rnacentral:rRNA from 1 species